rnacentral:tRNA from 1 species
CUUUUAAAGGAUAGAAGCAAUCCACUGGUCUUAGAAGCCAUUAACCCU